rnacentral:misc_RNA from 1 species
CCGAGUUUACAACUCCCAAACCCCUGUGAACAUACCUAUAUGUUGCCUCGGCGGAUCAGCCCGCGCCCCGUAAAACGGGACGGCCCGCCGCAGGAUCCACAAACUCUGUUUUUAUUUGUAAUCUUCUGAGUUUAACAAAAUAAAUAA